AACGAACGCUGGCGGCAGGCUUAACACAUGCAAGUCGAACGCCCCGCCAGGGGAGUGGCAGACGGGUGAGUAACGCGUGGGAGCAUACCCUUUUCUACGGAAUAGCUCUGGGAAACUGGAAUUAAUACCGUAUACGCCCUACGGGGGAAAGAUUUAUCGGGGAAGGAUUGGCCCGCGUUGGAUUAGCUAGUUGGUGGGGUAAAGGCCUACCAAGGCGACGAUCCAUAGCUGGUCUGAGAGGAUGAUCAGCCACAUUGGGACUGAGACACGGCCCAAACUCCUACGGGAGGCAGCAGUGGGGAAUAUUGGACAAUGGGCGCAAGCCUGAUCCAGCCAUGCCGCGUGAGUGAUGAAGGCCUUAGGGUUGUAAAGCUCUUUCACCGAUGAAGAUAAUGACGGUAGUCGGAGAAGAAGCCCCGGCUAACUUCGUG
rnacentral:rRNA from 1 species